AUCUCGCGUUAGGGAUUGCAGCGGCAUCCUCUAUAUUGCUUUUUUCGAGCAAUGUAGAGAUAUAGCGUAACGCCCGACCCUUU
rnacentral:misc_RNA from 1 species